GAGGGCGGGGCUCCGGGAGGAAGGAGGAUAGGGAUUGGCGGGGGGCGGGGCUCCGGAAUAGGGAAAAAGGAGCAAUGCUCCGGGAGGAAGGAGGACAGGGGUUGGCGGGGAGGCGGGGCUCCGGAGAAAGGCCGGCGGUGGGGCGGGGCUCCAGGAGGAGGAAGGAGGGGGCAGGGCUACGGGAGGAAAGGGGAGGGGCUGCGGGAGGAAGGCUGGCGGUGGGGCGAGGCUCCCGGAGGAAGGAGGAAGGGGGCGGGGCCCCGGGAGGAAAGAGGAAGGAGCAUACACACUGGCGGUGGGACAGGGAUCCGGAGGAAGGAGGAAAAGGGCAGGGCUCCUGGAGGAAGCAAGGCGGGGCGCGGAACUCCAGGAAGGGCGGGUGGGCCUAGGGGUCCCUACAGCCCCUGUACGCUAGACACCCCGUGCUUCAGCCCAGAGAGGUGGUCCUCACUGUGCUCGGCGUCCUCCGUCCCCGGGUCAGUACACAGAGGUGUCCCCACUGUGGUCGGCGUCCUCUGUCCCCGGGUCAGCACACGGGGCGUCCUCACUGUGGUCAGCGUCCCCAUCCCCCGGGGUCAGCACACCGGGUGUCCUCACUGUGGUCGGCAUCCUCCAUCCCUGGGUCAGCAUACAGGAUGUCCCCAGUGUGGUCGGGGACCUCCGUCCCCCAGGUCGGCACACGGGGUGUCCCCGCUGUGGUCGGCGUCCUCUGUCCCCGGGUCAGCAUACAGGAUGUCCCCGGUGUGGUCGGCGUCCUCCGUCCCCCGGGUCAGCACACGGAAGUGUCCCCACUGUGGUCGGCGUCCUCUGUCCCCAGGUCGGCACUCAGGGUGUCCCCGGCGUGGUCGGCGUCCUCCGUCCCCCGGGUCAGCACACGGAAGUGUCCCCACUGUGGUCGGCGUCCUCUCUCCCCAGGUCGGCACUCAGGGUGUCCCCGGCGUGGUCGGCGUCCUCCGUCCCCCGGGUCAGCACACGGAAGUGUCCUCACUGUGGUCGGCGUCCUCUGUCCCCAGCUCAGCACUCAGGGUGUCCCCAGUAUGGUCGGCGUCCUCCGUCCCCCGCGUCAACACACGGAGGUGUCCUCACUGUGGUCCGCGUCCUCCGUCCCCAGGUCUGUGUGGUAGCCAGAGCUUCAGGUUCAGCAGAAUCCUUGCCGCACUGCUGGAAGCCAGGAUCCAAGGCAUCCGUGUGACCUGGAAUGAGCUGAGGCGUGGUGAAGAGGUAUUGGGAGGAGGCGAGAGAAGGGUUUUUAUGGUCCAGAAUGAUUCCAUUGCCAGCAUCUUCUGAUAGAAGGAAUUAACUUUUCCAGGCAGUGCAAUCAUGCUAUUUAUUAAAAGAAGCAUUGGACAAUCCGAAUGGACUUCAGAGCUGUGUCCUGAGCCAUCUGGCCAACUCUCGGGCAAGAAACUUCUUUGUUCUUUAGAGACCAAGCUUUUUCCCCAAGCGCUAACAGAAUUGAAAUGGAAGAAGUUGGAAUUAUUCGUCUUUG
rnacentral:lncRNA from 1 species